rnacentral:misc_RNA from 1 species
AAAAAAAAAGAAAAAAAAAAAGAAUGUAAAAAAAAAUAACAGAAGCAGGAAGGAUAUGGUUUUAGAGUCAUUGCACUAGAUCUGCGCAUUGCACUAGCUCUGCACACAUUGUUCACAGUGAAGGAUCUUAUAUUAUGGUUUUUCUUUUAUUUGGCAUGUUGCUUAAUGGAAGUCUGAUGAAGAAUGUGCUCCUUUGCCUGUGAUGUACAUAACUGGCAUGUGAAUCUGCACGGAAGUGGGGUCAGAUUUAUUUGGCGUUGGCCAUGAGAUCAGUGAUGUGGAAAGUGGCUCGUCUGGUGUACAUGUUGUAAAUGAGUUGAUAUGCUGCUUCAUUGAAUCAAACAGUGAGUAUUCUUGCUGUGAAUCUUAACGUAUAAGGUCUUCAUUGCUUGAGGAGGUGGGUGAAUUAGUUUUCCUGCUGUGAAGCGGAUAGUGUGAUGCAGGCGCCUCUCAAGCCAUUAAUGUUGUGGUGGAUAGUUCUGGAUGGAGCCACUGAUUUCGUCAGAGCUCUCCGCUUGUAGCUGUGGGAGCUGCAGAUCUAUAUACUUCGGUGCCCGUUGAUUCCGUUGUUUCAUUUAUGUUCUCAUUGCUGGAUUUUGGCUUACUGCUUUAAUUGCAGAAGCAACAAUCUGUUUUUACUGGCUAGGGUGAUUUGUAUUAUCCAUUAGUAGUACGGGGCUUGUAUUUUGUGUCUUCUAUCAGAGGAAGUUUUAUGGGCCUCACUUGGGCACCAGAUUGUGUACUUGUGUUCUAAAUAAGUAAAAAAUAAAAAAUAAAAUUGGAAUCCAUGUGAAUGUUUCCUGUUGGAUCGAGUGUUAGGCUCAGGGCAGAGGAUCAGAAUCGAAUCAAAGGAUAGUUUUGAGUCGGGUUUGAUAUUAUUUUAAUUAAAUUUAAUGAAUGAAGUUUUUUU